UGGGGGAUAUUGCACAAUGGGCGAAAGCCUGAUGCAGCGACGCCGCGUGGGGGAUGAAGGCUUUCGGGUUGUAAACCUCUUUCGCUAUCGAACAAGGCUCAUUUUUUUGGUGGGUUGAGGGUAGGUGGAGAAGAAGCGCCGGCUAACUACGUGCCAGCAGCCGCGGUAAUACGUAGGGCGCGAGCGUUGUCCGGAAUUAUUGGGCGUAAAGGGUUCGCAGGCGGAAUAACAAGUCAGAUGUGAAAGGCAUGGGCUCAACCCAUGUAAGCAUUUGAAAUUGUAAUUCUUGAGAAGUGGAGAGGUAAGUGGAAUUCCUAGUGUAGCGGUGAAAUGCGUAGAUAUUAGGAGGAAUACCUGUGGCGAAGGCGACUUACUGGACACAAAUCUGACGCUGAGGAACGAAAGCGUGGGUAGCAAACAGG
rnacentral:rRNA from 1 species